rnacentral:rRNA from 1 species
GACGAACGCUGGCGGCGCGCUUAACACAUGCAAGUCGAACGGAAAGGCCUGCUUUCCCUUGUGGAUUGCGGGUACUCGAGUGGCGAACGGGUGAGUAACACGUGAGUGAUCUGCCCCCAACUUGGGUAUAAGCCUGGGAAACUGGGUCUAAUUCCCGAUAGGACUGCAGGGUGGUGCCUGUGGUGGAAAACGAUUUUCUAGUGGUUGGGGAUGAGCUCGCGGCCUAUCAGCUUGUUGGUGGGGUAAUGGCCUACCAAGGCGGCGACGGGUAGCCGGCCUGGGGGGGUGGACGGGCACAGUGGAACGGAGAUACGGCCCAGACUCCUACGGGAGGAAGCAGUGGGGAAUAUUAAACAAUGGGCGGAAGCCUGAUGCAGCGACGCCGCGUGGGGGAUGACGGCCUUCGGGUUGUAAACUCCUUUCGACCGCGAGGAAGCCACCUGGUUGGAAGGGUGGUGACGGUAGUGGUAGAAGAAGCACCGGCUAACUACGUG